UUAACUCUUAUUGGCCUCAUAUUUCCUCACCAGCUGUUCACAAGGAGGACAAGGCGGGUUAGUGAAAGGAACAGGGGACGUAGAGAGCGAGGGGAGGGAGGGAGGGAGGGGGGGUGCGAUUAACUGAGGAAACUAUACAACGUAACAGCGUGUGAUCUUCAGCUGAUCGCUGGCCUGUUUCAAGAAGCAACCCGCUAACCACGGGCUAAGAGAAAGAGCAGGAUGUGACUACAUCAAGAGCGUGCGUGCCGCCCCGGAGGAGCGCCGGCAGCUCGGUGGCAGAUGGUCGACCUCCGUAUCAUUAGUUUGCAGAUAACACCCCGGCCAAUGGGCUGAUCCAGGACGGUGAUGACUCUGCAUGCAGACAUGAGGUGGAUGGCCUGGACCACUGGUGCACCCAAAAUCACCUGGAGCUAAAGUUCAGGAGAACCCCCCUCACUAUCCUCAACAAUCUGGUUGAGAGGUUGGUUCCUAGGAAAUGGGUCACUUCCACUUCCUAGGAACCAACCUCUCUCGGGACCUGAGACGGUCCUCACAGAUUGUCACCAUCUGUGAGAAGGCCCAGCAGAGACUGGACUUCCUGCAGCAAAUCAAUAAAUGCAUCAUUCUUCAGGAUCUACCGAAAA